GGAGGCUCUAGAGUUAAUCACCCACGAAGAUGAUGGACGAGAAGUGGAAGUGAGACCUGCUGUGCAUGCUGAGUGGUGAGAAUGAGAAUCUGGUUCCUUGGGACUAUCCUUCUUCUUAGAGAGAUAGAACUGAGCAAAUUAUUCUAACACAUCAUAGGGGAUUUGAGAGGUAACACUUUCCUUCUUUUUAAAAUUGAUAAGCCUAUAAGUUAGUGGGGG
rnacentral:lncRNA from 1 species